UGGUCCACGCCGUAACGAUGUCUACUAGCUGUUUGUGUCCUUGAGACGUGAGUGGCGCAGCUAACGCACUAAGUAGACCGCCUGGGGAGUACGGUCGCAAGAUUAAAACUCAAAUGAAUUGACGGGGGCCCGCACAAGCGGUGGAGCAUGUGGUUUAAUUCGAUGCAACGCGAAGAACCUUACCAUCCCUUGACAUCCAGAGGAUUUUGCAGAGAUGCAAUUGUGCCUUCGGGAACUCUGAGACAGGUGCUGCAUGGCUGUCGUCAGCUCGUGUUGUGAAAUGUUGGGUUAAGUCCCGCAACGAGCGCAACCCUUAUCCUUAGUUGCUAGCAGGUAAUGCUGAGAACUCUAAGGAGACUGCCGGUGACAAACCGGAGGAAGGUGGGGACGACGUCAAGUCAUCAUGGCCCUUACGGGAUGGGCUACACACGUGCUACAAUGGACGGUACAGAGGGCGGCGAGCUGGCAACAGUUAGCGAAUCCCUUAAAGCCGUUCG
rnacentral:rRNA from 1 species